UCUGGUUCUGAAUCUGAGGGCAUUCUGGGUGGAAGAAGACUAGAAUGGUGGGCCAUAUUUUUCCGGUAAUUUGAAGGGUUUCCAUGCUUAUGUCCUGCAUGAGAACCUGUCGAAAUAAACGGAAAUGUUGUGUCAUGCUCAUCCUGGUCCGAUAUCAUUCUACCUCCAGAGGCCUGACCACGUUUUUUAGACUGAGGCUUCUGACUCCAGUUGCUGCCUUCUGUAGCUUGAUGACUCCUUCCUG
rnacentral:misc_RNA from 1 species